rnacentral:pre_miRNA from 1 species
GAAGUAUUCCUUCCGUUCGGAAUUACUUGUCUCGGAAAUGGAUGUAUCUUGAACUAGAUACAUCCAUUUCCGAGACAAGUAAUUCCGAACGGAGGGAGUACAAC